rnacentral:rRNA from 1 species
UACAGAGACUGCAAGCGUUAUUCGGAUUAACUGGGCGUAAAGGGGGCGCAGGCGGCAAAGUGUGUGAGGCGGGAAAGCCCGGGGCUUAACCCCGGAAUUGAACCUCAAACUACAUGGCUAGAGCAUUGGAGAGGGUAGCAGAAUUCAUGGUGUAGCAGUGAAAUGCGUAGAUAUCAUGAGGAAUACCAGAGGCGAAGGCGGCUACCUGGACAAUUGCUGACGCUCAGGCACGAAAGCGUGGGGAGCAAACGGG